rnacentral:lncRNA from 1 species
GACAUAGAAAAGACUAGAUGAUUAGUCUUAAUUGCUGUAUAGGUAAUAUUGGAGGUGGUGGUUAGGGAUAGUGUUUGGUGACUAAAAUGAAAAGAAAAACAAGUACAAUCUGUUCUAAUUUUGGGAUGUAUUGAUAAUUACAUAGAGGUGAGACGAUAUAAAGUAAAGAUUUUGUUAUAUUAAAAUGAUGGAAUAGUAGUGUUAUAGACUUGAAGUUGAUCUGACUAGAGAUGAAAACUAUAAGGAUGAUUUUUUUUUAUACUUUUAAUUUUUCUUACAUUUAUUUGAUAUUUUUUUUUUAAAAAAAAAUACAAAACUUU